rnacentral:ncRNA from 1 species
ACAAAGCAUUGCGAUGGCCGCUGGUCGGUGUUGACGCAAUGUGAUUUCUGCCCAGUGCUCUGAAUGUCAACGUGAAGAGAUUCAUCAAAGCGCGGGUAAACGGCGUAAGUAACUAUGACUCUCUUUCCACAAGCGUCCUGCCGACUGUGCGAGAGAGGUCCUGGACGGGCCGGCUGAGGCGGGAGUGGAGGA